rnacentral:lncRNA from 1 species
UUUUAACUUUGUCAGGACACUUUGAAAAAGUGGUCUGUGGUAUCUGGAAAGCUGAUGUUGCGUGUGAAGAUUGCAGAUAAGCUUUAUCCAAGGAAAUCUGGCACUUGAAGUUCGGAGAGUGGUGCCUCUUCGAUUUUCGAACAAGCAAUCAUGUCGGGGAUCUGGCUCUCGAGAUUCAGAGAACGGUGCCUCUUCGAUUUUUAAGAAAGCAAUCAUGUUGGGAGUCUGACUCUUGAGAUUCAAAGAGCAGUGUCUCUUCGAUUUUUGAGAAAGUAAUCCUAUUGGGAGUCUGACUCUCG